CUUACCUGGAUGGGGUCAAUGGGUGAUCAAGAAGGCCCAUGGCCUAGGAAGGUGACCUCCAUUGCACUUAGGAGGGGUGCCUUUCUAAGGUCUACCCAAGUGGUGGAGCCUACAUCAUAAUUUGUUGCUGUGGGGGCCUGCGUUCGCGCGGCCCCCUCCAAUUUUAGUUCAAGUCUUUUGAACUUUCUUUUACCCCGUUUCUAUCAGCCAUGACUCCCAAAAGGGUUCUUCUCCCUUGUGGUGAUUCCAUGGAAGACUAUGAAGUAUGCUUCCCAAAAGGGUCUUCACUCAAUUCACCCAACUCAUUUUGGAAGCAUUAGGUGUCUCCAUCGACGCUGUUUGUCCUGGAAAAAAAUCCGGUGACAUCUGGUGGUGGCCAGGUCUAUGCUUAAAGUUUCUAUAGGUUCUCUCACAUAGUUUCAAAAGCACUUUUGUCAAUAUAUAAACUCAAAUAAGUCAAUCCAAACAACUUUAACUUUUAAAGAAAAAAGCUAAAAGAACUCAAAAACAUCCAAUCAAUACCCUAUCUUGCUCACAACGCUGCUGUUAUGGAGCUAGAGGACAUGCUUGUCAAUUCUGGACAAGAAAUUAUUGCUUGCUUCUGUCAUGGCCAUUUGAUUCUGGCAGCUGCUAAUCUACUUGAAGGUUGCAAGUGCACAGAUUUUCCUCCUCUCAAACCGGUAUUGAUUGCAGCUGGUGCUCAUUGGGUUGAACACUUGUACCUGGCACUAUGUCAACAACUGUAGUGGAUGGUAAUUAUGCUUUAACUGAGACCUUUGAUGAUGUUGAUCCUUCAGGCUACGAUGCUCUUGUCAUCUCUGGAGAUCGAUGACCAGAGUAAUUGUCAAUGAAUGAGGCAGUUAUAGCCUUGGUGAAGCCUUUCAUGGAGAACAAGAAGCCAGUUGCAUCAAUCUGCCAUAGCCAACAUAUUUUAGCUGCUGCUGGUGUUCUGAAGUAUUGAGUAUUGUAACUAGCAUUCUAGCAAGGCUGAGCAAGUCGGAAGUAUAUUUCCAGUAACCCUUUGAAGGAUUCAAAAUAAGGGGAUGUGCAGUGUUACUGUAUUGUAUUUGAAGGACGUGUAAAGUACCAGGCAUGAGAUCACUUUGAGCAAAGCCUCUCUUUUGGUUGAGUUGGAAUUAACGAAGAGUAACCCUCAUCUGGUUUAUUGUUAUCUUUUGGCAAGUCCCUUCACUGCUCCAUAUAAUCAUCGAGCUGAUAGAACCGAAAAGGAGGCAGUGGCAUUAGACGUAGAGGAACCAGUUGAGGUAGAGUGGCCUUCACGAGACCUAAGAUUCGUUUCUACAAACACAGGCAUAGUUGGUUGCAGGUGCUCCGCUAAGCUUCUGGUUUGAAGGAGGACUACAACUUCAGACAUUGUUGGUCUCAUUCCAGCUGAUGCUUGAGUACACAACAGAGCAAUCUCUAUCAUUUUCUUCACUUCUUCUCCAUCAUAGUCAUUAGGGUCUAAGGCCUUGUCCACGAGCUCCAAGUGCAUGCCUCUCUCAUGCAGUUUCCAUGACUGUUAAGUGAAAUUCAAAAACCAUAUGAUAUACUUCAUCCUGUCCUUUUUAUAAGAGACCUUUAUAGUUAUGACUUGUGAGAAUUUUCUUACUUUUUUAAGAAGGUAUUCACCAUCUUCAUCAUCUUCCUUUACUUCGGUACUCUUUCGACCACUUAUGAUUUCUAGGACUACAAUUCCAUAGCUGUAGGUAUCAGCCUUUUCUGAUAAUUGACCAUGGAUUGCAUACUCAGGUGCUGUGUAUCCCCUGACAGUGACAAUUGCAUGUUUGGAAGACUUGUAAGUUAUACAAAGCAUGAGACAUGAAAGUGUGCUUAGAUGAGAACGAUCCCCUGGCAAAAGCCGCGCCAAUCCAAAAUCAGCAAUUUUGGGGUGAAGAUUAUCAUCAAGGAGUAUAUUGCUAGUCUUUAUAUCUCUAUGUAUAAUGGAAAUGUGGAAUUCCUCAUGAAGACAGGCCAGCCCUCUUGCUGUUCCUAAAAUUAUAUCACACCUUUGUUUCCAAUUGAGGGAACCUUGUUUGUUACCUAUUAAAUUAACAAAAUUCAUGUUAGCUUAUUUUAUUAAUCUAUUAGUGCAGGUCAAUAAUAGUUUGACUUUAAAUAAAAAAAAUGGUCGAGUGUGAUGAUUGUUUGAUCUAAUGGUAAUUAAAGUCACCGAGGUUUUAUUUUGAAAUUCAAAAUAAAUUGAAAUACCUCUCCUCUCCCUUUUAUGAAUGGGUAGUUACAGAUUGUAUUA